GACGAACGCUGGCGGCGUGCUUAACACAUGCAAGUCGAGCGGUAAGGCCCUUUCGGGGGUACACGAGCGGCGAACGGGUGAGUAACACGUGGGUGACCUGCCCUCGGCUCUGGGAUAAGCCUGGGAAACCGGGUCUAAUACUGGAUAUGACUCCAUGACGCAUGUUGUGGGGUGGAAAGCCUUGUGCGGCUGAGGAUGGGCCCGCGGCCUAUCAGCUUGUUGGUGGGGUGANGGCCUACCAAGGCGACGACGGGUAGCCGGCCUGAGAGGGCGACCGGCCACACUGGGACUGAGACACGGCCCAGACUCCUACGGGAGGCAGCAGUGGGGAAUCUUGCGCAAUGGGCGAAAGCCUGACGCAGCGACGCCGCGUGAGGGAUGACGGCCUGG
rnacentral:rRNA from 1 species